AUUGAACGCUGGCGGCAUGCCUUACACAUGCAAGUCGAACGGCAGCACGGGAGCAAUCCUGGUGGCGAGUGGCGAACGGGUGAGUAAUAUAUCGGAACGUGCCCAGUCGUGGGGAUAACGUAGCGAAAGCUACGCUAAUACCGCAUACGAUCUAUGGAUGAAAGCGGGGGGAUCGGCAAGACCUCGCGCGAUUGGAGCGGCCGAUAUCAGAUUAGGUAGUUGGUGAGGUAAAGGCUCGCCAAGCCGACGAUCUGUAGCUGGUCUGAGAGGACGACCAGCCACACUGGGACUGAGACACGGCCCAGACUCCUACGGGAGGCAGCAGUGGGGAA
rnacentral:rRNA from 1 species